GAACAAUAUUUUACUGAAAAAAACCCCUCCAAAACUGUUAAGAAACUGUUUAUCCACAAUGCUUUGGGCUCCCUCCCACCUCAGCCUAAAUAGACCUUUCCCCCUUUUAAAAUUUUAUGUCACCUAAGGCUGCUAGAUAUAGCUGGGCCAUGAAGUGCACAUUCUGAAAAGCUCCAUUCUAUUGCCUUUAUCUAAAAUCUUUGGAAAUUGUGAUGGACACAGAAUUUCAGAUCUGUGUCCUGCUUAAUGCAUACCAAGGAAAAGUGUCAUUUUCAUAGUUAUUCUCCAGGGAAACAUGGAUUUUUACUCCAGUCAACUCCCAGCUCAGUUAAUUACCUCAGUGGAUUGCAAUAGGAAUGAGUAAGUCUGAGGAGUAAGAGCUGAGGGCAUGAUGUCUCCUCUCCAUGUGUGCCAGAGGUAUUUACUCCAGAGAAGCUCUGACCUAGUCCCUUGGAUCAACCACCAUUUAGUGGCUGGAAGCAGGGUGUGUUCCUGGAGCAAAUCUUAUUUUACCUUCACCCAAAUGGGAUCAAGUUCAUGUUCUCCAAGACAUAUUUGUAAUGUGAAUGGAAGCUUGACAGCUGAGGAAGAUUAUGAUCUUCUGUGUCCAUCUGAAGGAUCAGAGAGGAUGGCUCCUGCAGAGGAGUGAAGUACCUGUGCAGAGGAAUGUGGACAAGCUCAUGCUGCUGCUGCUGCUGCUACCAUGGGAUUGCUAAGUGGAGGAAAAAAACUUCAGCCUUUCUUUUUGGUGCAAUGGAGUAAUACAUUCAAACACAACUUUUAAAGCAAGG
rnacentral:lncRNA from 1 species